GGGUCUGUGGAUCCUGGCUAUGGAAGAAACAGUACCGUUGGAUGCUGAUUCAAAGCAUAGAUGCUUUCUGAAGAAUCCUGUCUCAGCCCUCCAGGCAGCUGGCAACUAAUUGGUGCUGUAACUGUGUCUUCAAAGAUCAUUACAUCUUUCUGUCAGGUCAGCUGCUUCAGGAUGGUUGGAAGCAUCGGAAAGACCAGUGAAUUCCAUGGUUGUGGGUCAACUGUUGCACUUCUCUAGCUGUGAAGGUCCGAGUACAGUAAUUUUUCCUUCAUCUUAGAAGAAAUAUCUCUGCAUGGCCCACACACUGGACUCCUAAGAACUUCACUGAGGAAAUAUAAUAAUGAUUGACUAGCAAGUCCAUAAGAGUCAAGCCACCAUAAAAUUCACCUUGCUUGUGCUGAUCAUUACAGAUUGGACCAUUAUGAACAUUGCUUUGUCUAUUGUGGUAUUUGAAGGAAAAUGACCCCCAAAAGGGAGUGGGACUAUUAGGAGGUGUAGUCUUUUUUUUAUUAAUAUUUUUUUUAUUUUCCAUUUUAAAUUUAGAUAAGAAACAAGGUUGCUUCACA